GCCUAGAUCAUACAGAAUACAGACAGCACCGUGGGCUACAUUGACGGAAAGAGAUACAUUAACGACACACCAUUCGAUUAAAAGAAAACAAAUCAAGACAAAGCUGAACAGUGAGCCAAUAUCAAGAGACAAGAGGAACAACAACAUUGUAUUUUUUGCAUGCAAAGAUCAAGACCACCUGAAUAUGUAGGCCAAAGAUUGGAAAUAAUAUUACUAUGAUAUUAUUAUCAUAUCUUUAUCACUUUAUCAAUUCUUCCUUUAUUUUAUUUCAUUAUGGUGCACCCAAUUGCUAUUUGUUGUAUAAAUGCUAUAUUCAAUUACAUUUUAUUUAUAUAGCACCUCAAAAAUGUAAUAGUUUCAAGGCGCUUUACAGAGCCCAAUGCCUGAAAGCCCCUUAGGGCAAGCUCAAUGACGACAGGGGCCCGAAAAAAAACUCCCUGUUAAUCAGGAAGAAUCCUUAAGCAGAACCGCAGCACAUAAGGGUUGUGUGUGUUGCCCAUUGAUCCACAUAAUCUUACAUUCAAUGACAACAACAUUACUAUUAGAGUAGUCAAGUCGGAUUGACAGACCUUCAUGUCUUGGUGUCUCUUCAUGUCUAAUGAUGGACUCUCGUUUCUCUUUACUUAGUUGAGUGGUUCUUGCCAUAAUAUGGAUUAGUACAGUAGUGGUAGUAGUAGUUAUAGGGCUAUUCACUGUAUACCAAUCCUACCUAUGCACAACACGACUGAUGGUCCCAAUCACAUUAAGAAGGCAAGGAAUUCCACAAAUUAACUCUUGACAAGGCACACAUGUUAAUUGAAAACCAUUCUAGGUGACUAGCUCAUGAAGCUGAUUGAGAGAAUGCCAAAGCGGUCAUAGAAUCUAAAGUAUAAAACAUAUUCUGGGUUGUUUAACCCCUUUUUUUUUUUUACCACAUAAUAAAUA